rnacentral:lncRNA from 1 species
AGGAGAAGGAUUAAAAAGAGCAAAAGAAUUUCUGUGAGACGAAAGCAAAGGAGGGCUACCUAAUUUUAUCCCACACUUCCUUCCUGCAGUUCAUGGGCUCCCAAGGAAGAGGACUGUUCUGACUGGAAUGUGACGUGUCAGCCACAGGCUCAUAUGUUCGGACUCUUGGUGCCAGCUCACGGUGUUGUUUAGAGAGGACACACGUCCCUGGGGUGUGGGAUUUACUGAUGGAAGUACAUGACUGGGAACUGGACUUUGGAGGUUCUAUCUGCCUCUGGUUCUAGUCCCUUAUGUCAGGUCUACCUCACAACAAGGAAUGUAGCGAAUGCAGUAACUCUAGCUCAAGGAUUUGGGUCUCAGACUAAAGAAAACCUGCCAAUGCGAAAUGAUUCUCAUC